ensembl:lncRNA
UUCGUUUCCCAGAGUUAGGAGUCUUUAUGUUCUUUCUUAUAUAUAUUAGAUCUUUGUUCAAGGCUCCUUACUCAAAGCUCCCCAAACCCUUGGCAUUUCCUAAGUGUUGAGAGUGAUCAAGGUAUCUUUUGUUUCGUGAAUGAGGUAAAUUUUGGAAAGCCCCCUAGGUAACCUGAGGAUGGUGCUUCCACCACCCCUAGUUCGUUUCCCAGAGUUAGGAGUCUUUAUGUUCUUUCUUAUAUAUAUUAGAUCUUUGUUCAAGGCUCCUUACUCAAAGCUCCCCAAACCCUUGGCAUUUCCUAAGUGUUGAGAGUGAUCAAGGUAUCUUUUGUUUCGUGAAUGAGGUAAAUUUUGGAAAGCCCCCUAGGUAACCUGAGGAUGGUGGCUGGCUGCCUGGAGAGCCAACGCUGUGGUUAGAGGGUUGGAACCUUCUGUCCCACCAAUGACCCUCCCAGGAAAGAGAGGGGCUAGAUUGAGUGCAAUCACCAUCGCCCGAUGACUUAAUCAAUCAUGCCUGCGUAAUGAAGCCUCCAGAAAAUUCCAAAAGGAUAGGCUUCUAGUUUCUAGAGUUGGUGGACAUUGGUGGUCUGAGCAGAUAGGCUGCCUGGGGUGGGCUUGGCAGCCUUAUCCCCUUCCCCCACACCAUGCCCUGUGCAUCCCUUCCAUGGAGCUCUUCCUGAGUUACAUCCUUUUAAAAUAAAUGGGUGGAUCUAGUGANGGUUUUCCUGGGUUUUGGGAGCACUCCAGCAAAUUAAUUGAACCCAAGGAGGAGGCCAUGGGAACCUCUGAUUUAUAGCCAGUUUGUCAGAAGCACAGGAAACAACCUGGACUUGCAACUGGCAUCUGAAGUGGAGGUGGGGAGAUAUUUCGCAGGACUGAACACUUACCCUAUGGAAUCUGAUGGUGUCAUGGUGGAAUCUGAUGGUGUCACAGUGGGGUUAGCUGGAAUUGCAGAGACUUGCUCGGGGGCCCUGGGGACUCCUGCCUCCACCCCCCAACACAGUGGGAUUGGGUCCAGAACCCUCUUUAAGCGAACAGGUUUCACGGUGCUUCACGGUGCAUAUCUACUACCGAUAAACAGCCCCUCCACUUCCAGGUAGUCUGCGGGACCCGUAGCUUUUAGAGACUAGUUCCAUGGAAUAUGACAUAUCUUGAGACACAGCCAGGCAUGACCCAUUUCAGCACCGACGGAAGAGGUCUGGAACUUUAUCUAUUUACUGGCGUGGAGCAAACACCAAGGUGGCUGACCCAUCUACAGCUGUUUUCUUGGGGGAAAUCUACAUUGACAGGAAGAACAUAAUAUCCAGAAAGUACACAAUAGAUGGUAGGUAGUAAUUACAGUCAUGUUGUUGGUUUCCAAGAACCAAAGUAAAAUAAUAGAACAUAUAAAUCAAUGUUGACUGAAUUAGAUAUUAAAAUAUAUUCUUUAUUUAUUGACAAAAUGCUUGAGUUUCUACCAUGAGUCUGUGAAUAAGACGUGUUCUAAAAAUUAGAAUUCGUACGUAGACAUUUAGCAUUAUAUAAAUCUUUCACUGUGGAGCAAGUUAGGAACAAUACUCCUGGACCCAGCAGGAAAAAUGGACAAAAACUAAACGAUUUCCAAUAAAACUGGAAUAUUAGGCCA